rnacentral:rRNA from 1 species
GACGAACGCUGGCGGCGUGCUUAACACAUGCAAGUCGAGCGGUAAGGCCCUUUCGGGGGUACACGAGCGGCGAACGGGUGAGUAACACGUGGGUGACCUGCCCUCAGCUCUGGGAUAAGCCUGGGAAACCGGGUCUAAUACCGGAUAUGACUCCAUGACGCAUGUUGUGGGGUGGAAAGCCUUGUGCGGCUGAGGAUGGGCCCGCGGCCUAUCAGCUUGUUGGUGGGGUGAUGGCCUACCAAGGCGACGACGGGUAGCCGGCCUGAGAGGGCGACCGGCCACACUGGGACUGAGACACGGCCCAGACUCCUACGGGAGGCAGCAGGUGGGGAAUCUUGCGCAAUGGGCGAAAGCCUGACGCAGCGACGCCGCGUGAGGGAUGAC